rnacentral:tRNA from 1 species
GCCCUUAUGGCGGAAUUGGCAUACGCACACGGUUCAGACCCGUGUUUUUCUGGGUUCAAGUCCCAGUAAGGGUA